GACUGACAGAAAUACUUAUGUUACUGCCAUUGUCAACGAAUCCUUUAUCUACCUCCGUUUGUAUCCCGAAAUUCAUGAAUUCCAUCCACAUCUUCCAAUGGCCAGUAAUGGGAAGCUGAUGCGAGAACUUUGAACCCUUUCAAGAAACACAAAUGAAAAGGUUAUUAAAGCAAGGAGCAACAAGGAGUGCAGGUUUUUUUUUUUUGACUCCUUCUGUCAUUACUGUUGGCCACAACUCUUCUACAUCCUGAAACAAAAGGAGGAAUUCUGUGUAAAUCCGAGGAAUUCUGCUUCAUGUAGUGACAAAUACAGCCACCCUUAGAAAUAACAGAGCUGCAGCUAAAAAUCCAGAGAAAAGCUAAAAUGUAGAAAGAAAAAGACAGGAAUUUGAAAUAUUUGCCAAGAGAGGCCUGUCAAGGGAAAGAAUAUGCUUACCAAAACAAUUGUGAGAAUCCAAGCAAACAUCUACACUGCCAAAAAUUUCUGUGGAAACAGCAAAUUGCAAGCAGACAUCGGAAAUUAUUUGCAGAAACAAAUUCUGCAUUUAUUCCUGUGAUCCUCUGGAAACCUGAUCUGAAAAGUCACACUGCUCCCACCACAGACCAGAGGCAGCACCGGGCAUCUGGCAUGCAAAGAGUAACUGAUCCAACACUUGGAAGACGAACAAUCACAGCAGAUUGCUCUUGAAGAACCUGCAGAUAAAAUAAUGUCCAUUUAAAGUACUUACGUGUCAAUAAAGGCACAAAGGUCCGCAUAUGCUGGGUAACUGGGCAGCCCACAGUACAACUGCUGGUAAGUUUCUCCCCAGCACAGCUCUUCCGCUGCGUUGUCCUGGGGCCCUGCUAAGGGUCAGGAAGGGGAAAGCUGUGACCCCGUGUUACAGCGCUGGGGGUCCACAAAAGGCUCUAGAUUUUCUGUCCCACUUAAGCAGAGGGCAGCAAAAAGGCCAGGGAGGAAACGCUCUGCAGCUCAGACAUUUGCCAACAGGUAGAAUGAGUUCCCUAUACAGAACAGAAAGCCUGAUGACGUGUAGCAACAACCACAGGCUUGCAAACAGCACUGGGAAAUGAUGUGCCCCAGCUUUCUCUCUCUAUGCCCCUCCCCCUUACCUUUUAUUUUUUGGGGAAUGGGGGCCUUUCAAAGACAACGGUUUAACAAGAAGCUCAGUUGUUACAUGUCGGUGAUGCUGGUUGCAAUGCUUCCACAGCAAUAUGAGUGUGACCUAUCAUGCGAUAAUUAAACUCUUCAGUUCCAUUUUCAGCUUUCUGUGUUCACCUCAUGUUCAUUCAGGAUGACUGUAUUAUUGAAACACAAAAUCAGCAAAUGCUGUAGCUGACAUUUGCCACGAAAUGAAAAAUAACCUGAAGUUAAAAGUCUUUAUUGCUAACUAUGUAAAUACAAGCAGAGAGAAUAAUCCUUUAAAGACUACUUUAUACCAGAGACGACAAACAAUGUGUAAUACUGUUUUCUUCCUUUGUUUUCACUGGAAUCAUUAAUUUUCCACAAGAGAGCUGGUGCAUAAUUAGGAUUGAAAUGUUUUAACAAACAUCUUAGAAAGGAGUUAUUUUAAAAAUAAUUACUAGCUGGAUUUUGUAAAAGUUCUAUAAGGUCAGAGUCUCUACUAAUAAAUCCAUAAAUAUUCUGGAUUCAAGUGA